rnacentral:rRNA from 1 species
UACGUAGGGGGCAAGCGUUGUCCGGAUUUAUUGGGCGUAAAGAGCGUGUAGGCGGCCAAGCAGGUCCGCUGUGAAAACUCGAGGCUCAACCUCGAGAGGUCGGUGGAAACCGUUUGGCUAGAGUCCGGAAGAGGAGAGUGGAAUUCCCGGUGUAGCGGUGAAAUGCGCAGAUAUCGGGAAGAACACGCGUGGCGAAGGCGGCGCUCUGGGACGGUACUGACGCUGAGACGCGAAAGCGUGGGGAGCGAACAGG